rnacentral:rRNA from 1 species
GCCUGACUGCAAGACUGACAAGUCGAGCAGAGACGAAAGUCGGUCAAAGUGAUCCGGUGGUUCCGAAUGGAAGGGCCAUCGCUCAACGAAUAAAAGGUACUCUAGGGAUAACAGGCUGAUACCACCCAAGCGUCCACAGCGACGGUGGUGUUUGGCACCUCGAUGUCGGCUCAUCUCAUCCUGGGGCUGGAGCAGGUCCCAAGGGUAUGGCUGUUCGCCAUUUAAAGAGGUACGUGAGCUGGGUUCAGAACGUCGUGAGACAGUUCGGUCCCUAUCUACCGUGGGUGUUGGAAUAUUGAGAGGAGCGGACCCUAGUACGAGAGGACCGGGUUUGACGUACCUCUGGUAGACCAGUUGUCGCGCCAGCGGCAUAGCUGGGUAGCUACGUACGGACGAGAUAAACGCUGAAAGCAUCUAAGCGUGAAACUUACCUCAAAACAAGUAUUCCCUGAGAGCCGUCGAAGACUACGACGUUGAUAGGCCAGAUGUGUAAGGGUAGUGAUAUCCUCAGCUUACUGGUACUAAUAGCUCGAUAGGCUUGAAUCA